UCUAUUUGUAGAUAUAAAGAGUCUGGCCUGCCCACUGAUAUUGUUAAAGGGCCGCGGUAAUUUGACCGUGCAAAGGUAGCAUAAUCGUUAGUUUCUUAAUUGGGAUCUUGUAUGAAUGGUUGGACAAAAGAAUGACUGUCUCUAUGUUUUUAUUGAAUUUAACUUUUAAGUGAAAAGGCUUAAAUAUUUUAAAAAGACGAUAAGACCCUGUAAAGCUUAAUAAGCUUAAAUAUUUAUUAAUUAAUGUAUAAAAGCUUAAUGUAGAUAACUUAUUUCGUUGGGGCGACGAUGAUAAAAUGUCUAUUAACUGUUUAUAAAAAAAGACAAAUUUUAUGUUUUAUAAGAGUAAAUGACCUUAAGUGAAGAUAAAAGUUUAAGUUACUUCAGGAUAACAGCGUUAUUUUUCUUGAGAGUCAUAUCGAAAGAAAAGUUUGCGACCUCGAUGUUGAAUUAAAAUUUCUAUAUAAUUGCAGCAGUUAUAUUAGAAGGUCUGUUCGACCUUUAAAUUUUU
rnacentral:rRNA from 1 species